CCUACGGGAGGCUGCAGUGAGGAAUAUUGGUCAAUGGGCGGAAGCCUGAACCAGCCAAGUCGCGUGAGGGAAUAAGGCCCUCCGGGCCGUAAACCUCUUUUGCCGGGGAGAAAGGGCGGGGACGUGUCCCGGCCCGGAGAGUACCUGGAGAAAAAGCAUCGGCUAACUCCGUGCCAGCAGCCGCGGUACUACGGGGGAGGGGAGCGAUCUCGGGCUUUAUUGGGGUAAAAGGGAGCGUAGGCGGGCGAUUAAGUCAGCGGUAAAAUCGAGGGGUCGAACCGCGCACCGCAGUUGAAACUGGCGUUCUUGAGUGGGCGAGAGGUGUGCGGAAUGCGUGGUGUAGCGGUGGAAUGCAUAGAUAUCACGCAGAACACCGAUUGCGAAGGCAGCAUUCCGGUGUCCAACUGACGCUGAGGCACGAAAGCGUGGGUAUCGAACAGGAUUAGAUACCCCUGUAGUC
rnacentral:rRNA from 1 species